UAGUCUAUCCCUACUUCCAUUUGGUUUGGUUCGUCCUACAUUUUCCACAGUCUUCAAAAACCCUGCCACCAGCUGGAGAUCAAGUGUGCGGACACAUGAGCCUAUGGGACACGUCACAUUCAAACAGUAACAGAUGGUUUCAGAUAUAGCAAGCACAACAUCAGCUAUAUUAAGUGGUUUAAAAAUGCAAAUUUUAGUGCCACUCCAGAGAUGGGAUUUGGUAGGUUGGGGACAGAGCCCAGGCAAGUCUGAGUCCUGUGAGGAAUCUCGGGUUUCUUAGUGUGGAGACCUGCAGGAUACCUGGAUCUCACGAGAGCUCCGCUCCAGCACUGCACUACAACACGACAACCGCCCACUUAGUUUCUUCCAGGAGAGAUGUAGUCAAACUUGUUGCAAGACCCAGCCCCGUUUGCAGAGCCAGGCUCAAAGUGGUGUCUCCAUGACCUAGGUUCCACGACCUCUCACUCCUGCUAAUUCAGAGACCAAGCUUCUGGCACAUGAACCUGGCACUGCUGUGACAUGGACUCGUUUACAGAGAAGGAAAGAGAAAGGACACUCUUCCCCAGGUCACAGAGCCGGGACUGCUGUGGCUUAGGACUGUGUGUGUACGUGAAUGUCUACACCAUUCACGCUGCUUCGACCAGGGCUGGGGAGCCUCGCGGUCAGCCAAGGCUGGGGAAUCUUCUUUAAAUUUCUGCAGACUGUUAAGGGCUAUGCGCAUCCUCAGAAUGUUAGCUGCUUUGUGGGACAGGUCAUAAUCUACCCUUCUAACUGGGGCUCAAAGCAGGCUGGUUUCCUCUUCGGCAGUCAGACAUUGACCUGGGUCUGCUAAUCUAAGACACAUCAGCAUUGGCCUAAUUUGUGGAAGAUGUGUCAGGGUCUGUUCCUGGCAGAAGUUUCAUCUCAAGACUGAUCAUCCGGGAGAAAGAAGCCUUCUCUAGGGCCAGCAAGCUCCCAGCGUGCCCUGGGGGCUGGUCCUCAGAGCCUGGCACAGUCCCAUGAUGAUUCAUUGGCUGAAUCUUCAACCUCCUUGGAACACCCACGUUUCGCUCAUGCAUGCGCAGACCUCUUCUCAUCAUCUAGACCGCAACAGGCACCCUGAACACAAAUGGCUAGCUCCCUAUGCUUAUGCUCCCCGCCUUUUGCAGCAUGGUCUCCCGAGGCUGGUCUUGGGUUUGCCCUGUUCUCAUCUCCUCCAUCGCCUCCCUCCCGCCCACUUUCCUCCCCAUCGCCUCCCUCCCUCGGGGCUGGAGUCGCAGGUGUGUGACAUCGCAUCUGACAGUUGCCCUGUGUUUUAAACACUGAGUGACUGCGUUUACAUCCUACCAAGGUCACUCAAACAUUUUCCACUCACAGCCCCUUUUCGAUCAAGACAUUUUUAUGCCCUCCCUGGCACAAAGAUGUAUAAGUAGGUAUACAAAACAAGCAUUUAUGGACAUCUCAUACUGAAAUUUAUUUUGAAAGAAUUCUUUGGUAGACAUACUUUUACAAUUUGGUAAAGACAUAGUAAAUUUACAUAGUGA